GACAGAGGUGCCGAGCGUUAGGCGGAAUCACUGGGCUUAAAGCGUGUGUAGGCGGGUCGUUAAGUGUCUUGUGAAAUCCCACCGCUCAACGGUGGAACCGCUGGGCAUACUGGCGAUCUUGAGCAGUCCAGGGGCGAGCGGAACAAGCGGUGGAGCGGUGAAAUGCGUAGAUAUCUGGAGGAACAUCAGUGGCGAAGGCGACACCCUGGACUGAUACUGACACUGAGGUGCGAAAGCGUGGGGAGCAAACAGG
rnacentral:rRNA from 1 species